rnacentral:lncRNA from 1 species
CCAGAUCCAUCCUCAAGCUGGGCGAAUUCAGAAAAUCUACGAUGGCUCCUGGCGAUCACGUCGCCGGCGGUGCUGUUUGAGGCAGAUCAAAUCAGAUCUCCUCUGCUACUAAGCUCAGCUCGCAGUGUGCUCGUCGCAGGCUCGCAACCUCUCAUCUGAUUCUCCGGUAGCGGUCGGUUCGUCGCCUCCUCUCUCUCUCUCACGCACCAGGAUCAGCUCGUGUCCUCCUCCCCCUCGUCAGCAGCAAGCCGGUGGUGAGCUCCUCGGCUCCUUCCCAACCGCCCCAUGCGACGUGGUGCGAACCUACAAAUCCUCGAUACGGUUGUUCAUUUUCCUGGUAAAUAGAUGUUAACUUUGUUUGCUAUUUGUGUUGCAUUCCAAUUUUACUAUAUCAAGUAAAUUUACGAUUUAUCUGUAUACUUCUAUUUUCCUGUACUUUCAUGUCAAAUCUGCUUGUGUGUGCAUGAUGCAUUUGUCCUGUUCUUGGUGGUGUCGUACUCUAAUUUGGAAUUUUGUUUCACUGUUAAGUACUCUGCAGAACCAAGUUGGAAGGUUGAGAACGGUUGAAUAAUCUUAGGGUCUUGAAGUUCACGUAUAAGUUCACGGCAAUUCACUAAAAAACUCGGUACCUGCAGUUCCAUAUACAGAAUCAGUAGCUUGACAAGCUGGAAAGGAAGUAAACUGAUUCUACUAGACAAAAAAAAUUCAAAUUGGUCCAUUUAUCGGCAUAUCAAAAAUUUGGAUUCAUGUUCAUCAGAUCUUUCCAGUAAUAGCAUGUUCUUAUCUAUAAGAUGAAAACUAUGAAGCUCUCUUUAAAUCUAGACCAGGUUGUUUGGAAGUUUUCUAUAUGCAUAUAUGGAACAUCACAAGCAAUAUUGCAAUAGGAGGUACCACGAAACUUUUUUACUCGUCCAAGAUCUUUUAGACGUGCAACAGGCCACCGAGUAACAGUAGUGUUUCCCAGUUCCAGUUAUAUGUAAAACUAGCUCUCAAAGUAUUAAAGAUGAUGGUAUACAUCCAUUUUAAUUGCAAGUACACACCUUCAGAGCAGUGCCAAAUAAAAAUGUAUACAUAGCACGCCAGGACCGCAAGUAAGAUAUGUGUGCCAUGCAUUUCUUCAUAAAUAAUAAUAAACAUUAUACAAUUUUAAAUACUGAUUAAACAAGGAUAUAUGUAGCUGCUGUGCUAUACCACAACAGAAAUAAGCACUAAUAUUUGAGGAACCAAAAUAUAGCGGACAAAAAGUAUUUUAACAGGGAACAAUAGGAAGUGUCCUUGUAUAUGGAUUAUUUUCCCAAAAUGGUGGCAUCAAGGGCAAACAAUUUGUGCAUCGUAAUACCCAGGGUCUACAAUAGGAAGUGUCAUAGUAUAUAUUCUGCUUCAAAAACUGUUGUUGUUGGUUGUGUUCUUUAUCUUGUCCAUGUGCCUAACGUCUUGACUUCAAAAGAUGAUCUCUUUUCUGACUUUGCAAUUCUCAUCUCAGGAUCCAGUAAUGGAGGGCGGAAGCGUGACAUCGCCUUUAGGAGUGCCCAUGGUUGCAAUGACCACAGCAUGUGCGCCAGCACUAUCAGGUGAGAACAUCGGUCUAAGAAAGUACAUUGAUGUAUCUAACUUUAUGUUAAUCCCUUGUGAUGUUGUUUGCCAAAAAAUUGUUUGUAGCUGUGGAAUCGAUCAACAUCGUUCGAAAUCAAGAUUACAACAAUGCUACCUUGUUUGCAGAGAUUAAUUCACCCAUGCUUCUCAUUGAUGAUUUCAGUACUCCAAAAAAGAAAGAAUCAUUCUCUCAAGAGGUACCUAUACUGCUCACAACCUGCAAUGCUUGUUGAAUGUGCAUUGCAUCUGGCUAAUAGUAGUAGAAUUUUAGUUUGCUUCAAAAUAUAUUACUACAUGUGACAGAAAAUCAGAUCUCAUAAGUAAAUGGCAUGUACUCCCGCCGUUCCUAAAUAUUUGUCUUUCUAGAGAUUUCAAAUGGAACACCACAUACAGAUGUAUAUAGACAUAUUUUAGAGUGUAGAUUCACUCAUUUUGCUUCGUAUGUAGUCACUUGUUAAUUUGCUCCGUAUGUAGUCACUUGUUAAAAUAUCUAGAAAGACAAAUAUUCAGGAACGGAGGAAGUAGUAUUUUACAGAUCAAUAUGGUAUCACGUUUGUGACACAAGGUUGAUGGUAUUAAACUUAGAAUUUGUGUUGCAGGGUUCUCUGUAUAAGCCCCAAUGUAAUAGCAUGUAAUAAUCUGCACCUGUAGGGCAGUCAUAAAACUCUCUUUAGCUCGAUGCCACUUGUUUGUUAUUCUCAUUUAUGCUUUUAACUAAUCCUUGAAAAUUGCAAUAUAUUGAUCGUAGGUCUAUGCAUGCCCAUGCAAGCUUUAACCCAGUGUGAAUCUGUAGCCUGCAUUCCUAUUUUCUCAAGGCGAUCCAGAUUUACUUUUUCCAUGCCCAGUAUGUUUGUACCCAUUUCCAGUAAUUGUCCUUUUUAGACGGGUAAAGUCAAAUUUAUAAUUGUAACCUUGGGUCAUAAUCUCUAACCUUCACCACUAUGAAACUUUUAUGAGCUGGUUUUUGUGCAAGCAGCUAAGGUCCAUUCAAUGGUAUGAACUUGAAUGUUUGUCAGUUUUUAUGAUUAUUUUUGAGUUAGAACAUAUGCGUGUUAUACUGACCUCUUUCGAAACAAGAGUUUUGAUGUUAUUGGUUUAUAAGUCAAUAGGUAUAACAACAUAACCUAAUCUGUAGUGGAAUAACGAAAUAUGCUGUAACAAAUAUUUGUACUCUCUCUAUUAGACUUAUCCCGCUACUACAUGCCAUUUUUAUUUGAUUUGAAAACUCCCAUGUAGAAGCUGGAAUGCCAGCAUCGACCUCAAGGGUUAUCCUGAUUGGUUACAUGUGUAUUCGGAAUUUCAUAUUAAGUUUCACAUCUAGGUUAUAUAUCCUUGGUUGGAGCUGUGAAUGAAGUUGGACAUAAUGAAUGUCUCUCUUCUCAAGAUAUGCUAUUUCAUAUAUGUUUCUAACUGACACCUACUUAUUUGGUGUUCUUAGCUAGGUAGAUUGAACUGAUCAAGUGUAUAAGAGUUCAUGGAGGUUAAAAACUCUCGUAUAGAAGCUGGAAUGCCAGUGGAUGAAGCUCGAUCAACAGGAAGCACUAAAACAGGACGCAAAAUGAUACUCAUAGAUCUUUUCUGUCAUGUACUAUCAAGAUGCUUGUUGGACGGUGAUAGUUUCAGUCAUUUACACUUGGGUCUGCUGGCCAUGUACUAAAAGUGUUCUAUGUAUACCUCCUAUGUUGUAUUCUCAUGUACUCAAAUACUCAAAAUGAUGUGGUGAUAAUUCCAGUCCUUAAUUUGCUCGUGCACUACUUCUAGUUUGACAUGUAUAUGCAGUUCUGCUUGUUCUGGGAUGGCUUAGUUCUCUUAUGUGCUAAAAAAUGUGAUAUAUAUUG